rnacentral:pre_miRNA from 1 species
UAAGGCAGUUGAAUGUUUUCUGUACAAACCCUGGCUUUUCUUAAUUUUUAUGUAUUGGAAAGCCCAUGUUUGUAUUGGAAACUGCUGGUGUC